rnacentral:ncRNA from 1 species
ACCAUCCUUUUCUUGGGGUGGCACUACUAUCUAACGAACGCAUAGUGAGAGCAGUACUGCUAGCGCCUAUGCAACACACUCACGUUAGUUAAAGCGCUGCUUUAUUUUGAUGCAAUUUUU